rnacentral:lncRNA from 1 species
CCUCUCUAAUACGGACCCCUCUCUAAUACGGACCCCUCUCUAAUAUGAGCAGCUCUCUAAUAUGAACAGCUCUCUAAUAUGAACAGCUCUCUAAUAUGAACAUCUCUAAUAUGAACAUCUCUAAUACGAACCCAUUUCUAAUACGAACCCUCUCUAAUACGAACACCUCUUUAAAAGAAUGUUUUAUGCAAAAGGUGAAAUAUUUUCUGUUUCAGUAAAUAAACUGUCAUCAAAAACAAACCACGUUCCUCCUCCAACGUCAAAUAAUUCGCCAGUCAAACCAUCGGCAUCUAGAACAGAUAGGUAAGUGAUUCGUGAUUUAUUUAGCUUUUAAAUCUCUUUCUAAGUAAGUCCUGUUUUUCCUUUGCAGCAAAACGGAUGCAGUAAGUUCAUCACAAUUACAAGAAUUAAAAAUGG